GCGUGGGUGGCUUAGUGGUUAGAGCCUAGGGCUUGGGAGCGAAAGGUCCGAGGUUCGUAUCCCCAAGGGG
rnacentral:tRNA from 1 species